rnacentral:rRNA from 1 species
AACGCGAAGAACCUUACCAAGGCUUGACAUCCCCUUGACCAGUGCAGAGAUGUACUCUCUCCUUCGGGAGCAAGGGUGACAGGUGGUGCAUGGUUGUCGUCAGCUCGUGUCGUGAGAUGUUGGGUUAAGUCCCGCAACGAGCGCAACCCUUAUCCUUAGUUGCCAGCGAGUAGUGUUGGGCACUCUAAGGAGACUGCCGAUGAUAAAUCGGAGGAAGGUGGGGAUGACGUCAAAUCAUCAUGCCCCUUAUGUCUUGGGCUACACACGUGCUACAAUGGUCGGUACAAAGGGAAGCGAAGUAGAGAUAUGGAGCAAAUCCCAAUAAACCGAUCCCAGUUCGGAUUGUAGGCUGCAACUCGCCUACAUGAAGUCGGAGUUGCUAGUAAUCGCGAAUCAGAACGUCGCGGUGAAUGCGUUCCCGGGUCUUGUACACACCG